rnacentral:rRNA from 1 species
UACAGAGGUCUCAAGCGUUGUUCGGAUUCAUUGGGCGUAAAGGGUGCGUAGGCGGCGCGGUAAGUCGGGUGUGAAAUCUCGGGGCUUAACUCCGAAACUGCAUUCGAUACUGCCGUGCUUGAGGACUGGAGAGGAGACUGGAAUUUACGGUGUAGCGGUGAAAUGCGUAGAUAUCGUAAGGAAGACCAGUGACGAAGGCGGGUCUCUGGACAGUUCCUGACGCUGAGGCACGAAGGCCAGGGGAGCAAACGGG